GUCAAGGUGGCAGAGCUCGGACAUAAUGCAAAAGGCCUAAGCCCUUUCAACAGAGGUUCAAAUCCUCUCCUUAACU
rnacentral:tRNA from 2 species